AGCUCCAAAUUGAUAAGUAAAUUUUACUCUAAAUUUAUUCUAAGUGUCUAAUAAAACAAAAAUGUUGAGAUGAGCUGCACUGAAAUUCGUAUUAAAAUAUUACUGUUGUUAUCGGUAAAAUAUUACUGUGGACACAAUUAUUCAAAUAGAUACUUAUUUAAGCAAUAAGAUAUUCAGGGACUCAACUCCAGUAUUCCCUAAAAUGUAAAUCGUCC